CCUACGGGGGGCUGCAGUGGGGAAUAUUGGACAAUGGGCGAAAGCCUGAUCCAGCCAUGCCGCGUGUGUGAAGAAGGCCUUCGGGUUGUAAAGCACUUUCAGUGGGGAAGAAAGCCUUGGGGCUAAUACCCUCGAGGAAGGACAUCACCCACAGAAGAAGCACCGGCUAACUCCGUGCCAGCAGCCGCGGUAAUACGGAGGGUGCGAGCGUUAAUCGGAAUUACUGGGCGUAAAGCGCGCGUAGGCGGUCUGAUAAGCCGGUUGUGAAAGCCCCGGGCUCAACCUGGGAACGGCAUCCGGAACUGUCAGGCUAGAGUGCAGGAGAGGAAGGUAGAAUUCCCGGUGUAGCGGUGAAAUGCGUAGAGAUCGGGAGGAAUACCAGUGGCGAUGGCGGCCUUCUGGACUGACACUGACGCUGAGGUGCGAAAGCGUGGGUAGCAAACAGGAUUAGAUACCCGAGUAGUC
rnacentral:rRNA from 1 species